GCACCCCUCCAACCAUUUCGCAUUUUGUGUGUCCUCCCCCAUCUCUAUCUAGGUUAGCAUCUCCCUCCUCUCUAUCUCAUGCAUUCCCUCAUCAAUUCAUCGUUGUUGCCCUCAGAUCUGGUGAUUCCAUGCGGGGUGGGAAGUGCAGAUCAGGGAUCGAGAGGCAAGGGCACCCACGGAGGUGGAGAUGCGAGGUGAAUCCAAUUGGUGGAGGUGGAGCCGAUGCUCACAAAGGUUUUCUGCUAGAGGGAGAAUCCCAAAUCGAGGAGGGAGGAGGAGCUACUCACACGGUGGUGCAUGGCAGGACGCCCUCCGGCUGCUCCUAGUCUACGGGAACAUCCCCAAGUCUACUGUUGCAAAUGAUGCCCCGGAGCUACCGGCGUGCUGGCUAUCGGGGGGAUGCAUUCUGUUGGUGGGAGUGUACAUCCAGGAUCUCGCGUAGAUCGCCGACCGCUGCUACACCAUGACUGAUCACAGAUGUGGCCCUGAGGGAUGCCAUUUGGGCGGAAAGAAUGCCACCAUGCCCGAGUGUUCCUGAAAGGAGGGAUCCCGGUGAAGUUGGGGGCAUUGUUAUCGAGAUUUUAAUCUUUGUUUCCUAUAUUUUAUUCAUGCAUCCACGGUUUGCUCGUCUUGCUUCAAGACUACAGCAGCGAGUGCUGGGGAUGCUGCUGUGACAUUGCUUGUGAG